rnacentral:rRNA from 1 species
GACAGAGGGUGCAAACGUUGUUCGGAAUUACUGGGCGUAAAGCGUGCGUAGACGGCUAUCUAAGUCGGGUGUGAAAGCCCCGGGCUCAACCUGGGAAUUGCAUUCGAGACUGAAUAGCUAGGGUACGGUAGAGGGAAGUGGAAUUUCCGGUGUAGCGGUGAAAUGCGUAGAUAUCGGAAGGAACAUCAGUGGCGAAAGCGACUCCUGGACCAGUACCGACGUCAGGCACGAAAGCGUGGGGAGCAAACAGG